ensembl:lncRNA
CAAAUAACAUGUGGAGACCUGAUUGGCAACACCAGGUACAAUUUGGUAAUAUUCUCUGGAAAUGAUCCAACUCUAUAACGACAAUAUUUACUCUCUUUAGUUCUCUGGAAGUGACCUGGAUUUCAAUAACUGUAAUAAGCCAAGAACCAGCCCCCCUUUCUCUCAUCCAGCGUGUCUCAAUCCUAUAAAAGCAGAACUAUCCCUCCACUCUGUACUACAACACCUGUUCACUAUUACCUUCAAGAGCUCCACUGCACCAAGGAAGAACACAGACACAGGUAAAUACAUUAUUUACAUACAUUCUGGAUUACAUUUUCAUAUCAGUCUUGGCCUCAUGGUAACGGAGGUUAAAUUAGUAAAUUAAUAAUCUUAUUCUGAAUUCAUUAUUAACUGAGGGAAUAAUACAUUAUUUUACAGUGCCACCUGGGUGUUGGUGACUGACAGAGUUGAAUUGCACUUAUAAACUUUACACAUUGUGACCUGUGCAUUUCGUGGAUAGUUUGGAUGAGGACAAUAAUAUAAUCCAUAAUAUAAAUUUUAAUGCAGUUCACCCAUUUUACAUUUCCAUUUAAAUAUUCAUUUCACUCUCUCCCUCUGUUUGUUUAUAUAUCAUAGCAGUAAUGGAUAGGUGUAUACCACACUGUGGGGACAAAAACAAAGGUAGUUCCAUUGGCAACGUACAUGGAGGUGGAGGCAAUGCGAACAUUGGCAAUGCAUCAGGAGGUGGAGGAAGUCACAUUGGCAACGUACACGGUGGUGGAGGCAACGAGAACAUUGGCAAUGUAUCAGGAGGUGGAGGAAGUCACAUUGGCAACAUACAUGGGGGUGGAGGCAACGCCAACAUUGGCAACGUUGGAAAACCAUCUGGAUGCCAUUAGGGCCGCCAGAAGAGGACUGGUCACCCCUCUGAGCAUGGGUCCUCUCUAGGUUUCUUCCUAAAAUUCGACCUUCUUAGGGAGUUUUUCCUAGCCACUGAAAUUCAACACUAUUGUUGUUAACUCCUUGGGGUUUAAGGCCGGGUGUCUCUGUAAAGCACUUUGUGACUGCUGUUGUAAAAAGGGCUUUAUAAAUGAAUUUGAUUUGAUUGAUUCUUGUCCUCUUAGCUUCACCAAAAGCCUGUCAACAUCCCUGCUCACACUGGGGUGAAGAUUAUGAAAACUGGGUGCAUAUUAAAGUUCUUAGUUCUAUCAGAUUCACUCUAGGAGUAUGGUUUUAAUCAGCAUUGUAACCGUUCUUGUUUUUGUCAAAUAAAUAAAUGUUACAACACUGAUUUAA